CAGUUCGCAGUGCAAUUCACAUUUCACACUGUUGACUCUUAUCUCAUGAUAAUUUCUAAAUCACAUGCGAACAUUAUGUAUUAAUAAGUCAAAAUUUAAUUAUAUCUGAACAAAAAUAACAACUGGUUCCACCAGUACAUUAAGCAUUCUGCCUAAAAUAAAUAAAUAAUAGAUAUUCAACUACAUGAAUAAUCAGAUAAUAGAUUUCAUAGAAAAGAUGAAAAAGUCAAGAGGCAUUUGUUUAACAAUAAUGACUGAAAGCUUAAUCUCUUAAGAGAUGUUACGUUUAUUUACUUAACUUUAGACUUUAAGAAACCCCCUUACGUGCAAUUCAGAUUCAAAUAUUUCAAAGGCCAGACAUGUGCAAAAAUUUCAUUAUCGGAUAACUGGGAACUGGAAAUCUUAUCGGCCAUUACUUAUAACCCAAAAAAUAAAAAAUAUAAUCCCUUAAAUUUUCAUUCCACGAAAGCCAAAGACAGGUCCUGAGAAGCCUCAAGCAUGUCCCCAAUUCCAAAAUUUUCUUCAUGAUUAAUUUAACUACUCUCUCCCCUUUGCAUCUUAAACCUCAAAUUCUAGAUUAUAGCUCAACUAGUGUUCUUCAAACUUUGCCUUUCAAAAUCUAAAAACCUUUAAACAAAUAAUUUCUGUUUCUUCAAGCUUUCAUUUUCUUUGCCAAUUCUAUAGUUUAUUCAACAACCUAACUUACUUGCAAACUAGGAAAAUAGACACAAACAAAAGAUGAAGAUGCAUUCCCGAAAUUUUCAAUAGUAACAUCGAAAAGAUAUGGUUUUUAAUCCACAUUCAACGAUUACUCCAAAUUGUUUUUUCUAAAAGAAAUUCACAGAGCAUAAAUCCAAAAUUCUAUGAUAUUUUCAAGAUUAAGAACACUCCGUAAGUUUAAUAAAGAUUUCUGUUCCUUUUGAAUUUAAGUUAAAAGGAUGAUAAAAUAAAAAAAAUCAAUGAUUGUGUAGAAUUAUCAUUUCAUCUCGAUAAAAAAUAAUACCCAGAAGUGUGCA
rnacentral:lncRNA from 1 species